rnacentral:rRNA from 1 species
GUGUCAGCCGCCGCGGUAAAACGUAGGGGGCGAGCGUUAUCCGGAUUUACUGGGCGUAAAGCGCACGCAGGCGGCUGAUCAAGUUGGACGUGAAAGCUCCCGGCUUAACUGGGAGAGGUCGUACAAAACUGAUCGGCUCGAGGCUGAGAGAGGAGAGCAGAAUUCCCGGUGUAGUGGUGGAAUGCGUAGAUAUCGGGAGGAAUACCAGUGGCGAAGGCGGCUCUCUGGCUCAGAACUGACGCUGAGGUGCGAAAGCGUGGGGAGCGAACGGGAUUAGAAACCCGAGUAGUCC